rnacentral:pre_miRNA from 1 species
AAGUCCUUUAAGUAGUAGUGCCGCAGGUAAGGGCUUGGCACUGGUACCUGCACACAACUGCUGACUGAUGAAA